AGCACAGAUGAAACGACCAACAAGGCGGUUGUGUGUGCAGGAGUUCCAGACAAAUCUGAUAAAUUCAAGCAAUUGGACGUUACUGAGUGGCUUACUACUGCAUUGGGUCCUCUGAAAGGGAGAUGCGGGAAAGGGAAAAGUGGUCUUGCAUCUGGACAGGGAACGGAUGCCUCUCAAGUGAACGCAGCUUUGGAUCUGGCUGCAUCAUUUGCAUCACUGAAACUCAACUGAUUGAUGUGGAGGUGAUUACAGAAUCUGUGUGGUCUGAACAACCUCUACUCAUUUGAUACCAUUGUAUACCGUUUUACUCAUUUUAAGAUCUACUGUUUUCUCAUUUCUUGUGUCGAAUUCGUGGUACUUCUUAGUCAGUCAAAGUUGGCAAUUGGUGGUACC